CGUCCAUCUGGCAGUCUGGGGAUCCGGCGGACAUAGCAAUCAGAACCGACUGUAGCAACGCAAAAUGCACCGGGUCCUUGCACCUGUACCGUUGGUCGUGUCUUUCGUGCAGGCCGCCCCCCGAAAAUAAAUGCAGGCAUUGUGUCAGAAGUACCCGUUGUCUGUAGCCUUACUCCUGUCUGGGCAGUUUCUAAGUAUCGCCUGCCUUCCGCUCUGAUGGAGCCGAGCACUUCCACUGCGUGCCUUCUGAUUGUGCUCUAGGUAUUUGGCUCUGCGGCUUCCCGCACCAUUCACAACUUUAACCCUUCUCUUGUCUGGAGCGGCUGCAGUUACUUCUGGAACUAACCAGUCAUGAAAUUCAUCCCCCCCUUGAAACGUCCAAGUUGGUUCAGCCCGGUGAGCAUGUGACGCUAUAAAGGCAGGAUGGCUGCGAAUCCAGACUAGACUGAGCUGAGUGCCACAGAAUAGGAGGGAAAUGAGGGGAUUAACCAUUCCGCUGCCAUGUUGUUCAUUUGUACAUGCUAAGUUGCUAAGUUUGUGCUCUCACUCUGUAUGGACAUUUUAUGUGGGCAACUUUCAUCAAAUAUUUGCUUUCAAAUAUGUAAAACGAGUUUGUUAUUUCACGUCUAUAACAAAACAUUACAAAUACAUGAUGAAAAAUGUGUUUUUUUUUGUAAUUGGAAAACAAUAAUUGAAACAUUGGAAAAUACACACAUAUUUAGAAAGCCUACAUAUGUACAAUAUGUAGCUUACAUAGCCUACAAUAUACACCCUUCAAUGAAGCGAGCAUGUUAAUACAAAAUGUGAAUAUUUUACUUUUUUUUGUAUAAAAAUCGGCAUAACACAUACGUUACAAAUACAGAACAAUAGCUCCCACAUGCUGCUGGGCACAAAGACAACAUUUUGGAAUAAAAAUUAGAAACUUCUGAGUAAACUGAUACCACGUGAUUAUAGGCUACAAUGUGGCUUCAAGUUCUAAAGACCCCAAAAUAAAAAUAGUACAAAUGAA